AUUGAACGCUGGCGGCGUGCUUAACACAUGCAAGUCGAGCGGUAACGCGGGGGCAACCCUGGCGACGAGCGGCGAACGGGUGCGUAAUGCAUGGGAAUCUGCCUGGUAGUGGGGAAUAACCUGGGGAAACUCAGGCUAAUGCCGCGUACGACCUACGGGUGAAAGCGGGGGAUCGCAAGACCUCGCGCUAUCAGAUGAGCCCAUGUCGGAUUAGCUAGUUGGUAGGGUAACGGCCUACCAAGGCGACGAUCCGUAGCUGGUCUGAGAGGACGGCCACGCACACUGGGACUGAGACACGGCCCAGACUCCUACGGGAGGCAGCAGUGGGGAAUUUUGGACAAUGGGGGCAACCCUGAUCCAGCGACGCCGCGUGUGUGAAGAAGGCCUGCGGGUUGUAAAGCACUUUCGUUGGGAACGAAAUAUGCCGGCCUAAUACGCCGGCAGGCUGACGUUACCCAAAUAAGAAGCACCGGCUAACUCUGUGCCAGCCGCCGCCGUAACAC
rnacentral:rRNA from 1 species